CCAUUGCAUGUACUUUUUACUCCUUUGUCCCGAACUUGCUGAGUCUUGCUUUCAAAGUUUCUAGCUACUGAACUGCAGAGCAGAUGAAAAUCUCAUAAAUAUUCCCAUAUGGCAUAUUUGUAGAAAGAAGAUGGAUGUACAAGAUAGGGUUCCUUUUAUGUCUGUUGCCUGAGAAAAAUAGAACUAUGUUCUAUGCCCUGUGUAUUUACCUGUUGUUGAAGUAAAUAUCUCUUAUAAGAAUUUCCAUAGAGACCAAGAGGGUGGAUCUAAGAAUCUUUGGAAAGACUCGGAAUAGGACACUAGCUGAACAGAACUUUGGUCCUCAGUAUUGGAAGAUGAUCCAAAAACAAGAGAAGAUAAAAGCUGUGCCAACUAGCAAGUCCUGUCAUUACCAAGCAAUAAGGAGAAAGCAAUAGAUUUCUCUUUGGAGACUGACUACUGCUAGAGAAGAAAUACUGGAUUAGGUGGGCUUACGCUCUUGGCAGCAUUGAGACACCUCUCAGCUGCCUGGCUGGUGUGUUUUGCUCAUAUACUUUAAUUCACUCAGUCACUAGAUAUUGAGUUAGGACUUAAUAUUUUCUCCAUAUCAGCUUAGCAGUGACUUUCUUUGCUUGUUCAAUCUGGGAGAGGAUUUUUCUAGUUUUACUGUCUUUGGUGAUACGUGGUAUUGUCUACUUCCUAAGAACAUUUGGGUAUUUUCAGCUAAAGAGAACAUUGUCAGUACAAGGACUUUGGUGAGGAGUUUGAUCUUUCUUCUUUUCUUUUUGUAGUUUCUGUUUUCUCCUGUUUAACAGCAAUUUUCUUAAGUUUAUAAUACUCUGCUGAAAUAUUUUGGUGGUGUGAGUCAUGAAGCAUCAGCUAGAUAACCUUCACCUAUAUCCAUUAAAAUUGCUGUCAAAACUCAAAUUAACUUCACUGUUCUGGGAUCAGAACAAGCAUUUGGGAUGUCUAUAAAGAAUUUGAGUUAAUACCUGAAUUCCUGAGAUCUUAAUAGUCAAUUAUCUUUUUGAAAGUUUCAAGUUCUUAUUACCCAUGGAAAUGGUGAUUCAUUACUGAUAAUUACUACCAAAAUCAUGUAAACUCCAUCCUAAAACCUGACCAUUUUCUUAUCUGAUUUUUUUUUUUUUUUUUUGGUGGGGGGGAUGUUGUAGAACCAUCUUAUUAAAUAUUUAAUACGUCGAAUAAAAGUCUGGUGUAAAUUUAAAGGUUUUUAUGAGCCUGCAGCAGUGCUGAAUUUGAUCUAGUAAACAGUGUUAAAAUUAAAUGAAAUUAUCUGUGCCUGAAUAUAACAGCAUUAGCACAACUGGAUCUGCUCAGCAAGAUAAAUUAGAUGUGAAGUACUCUUGAGAGACAUUCCAUCUCUUGGGACAUUUAGUAAAAACUAAACUAGUUAUAGAAUUGAUAACAAUUAUUCUCGGAGCCACAACAUUAAGAUCUAACUCAAACUUUCCUAAUAUAUAGCAAUGCUAAGAGUUGGGGUUUGAUUUGAGGACUACAUUUGGAGAAUGAACUAUAUGGAAGCUUCACAGAAAAGUUUUUGAAAUAUUUUUAGUGCAGGACUUUUCAUUCUUGAGAUAAAGCCUCAUGAUAAGAUGCUUAUGGAAAGACAAUGUGUUCUAGUCAACUUGUAAAGGUUUUAUCUCUGUGAUAUUUAUCUCUUUGUAACAUUUUACUCUAAUUUUUGGCUGAAAGCUUUUUUACUUUGAGAUAAGAAAUGGUUUAAGAAACAACAUUUAUUUCUCAAGUCUGUAUGUUUCCUGAAAAGACAACUAUCACAUUUGUAUAUAUAUCUCAUUAUUUAAGGAAUAGUGCAAAUGCUGAAAAAAUUUAAUUGUAUCAUCAUGUCACACAGAUAGGCCUGUAAGUAAACUCACAAGACUAUAUUUUUCCCUACUACUCUAUUACAUUUC